rnacentral:rRNA from 1 species
CGAAUGCUGACAUAAGUAACGAUAAAGCGGGUGAAAAGCCCGCUCGCCGGAAGACCAAGGGUUCCUGUCCAACGUUAAUCGGGGCAGGGUGAGUCGACCCCUAAGGCGAGGCCGAAAGGCGUAGUCGAUGGGAAACAGGUUAAUAUUCCUGUACUUGGUGUUACUGCGAAGGGGGGACGGAGAAGGCUAUGUUGGCCGGGCGACGGUUGUCCCGGUUUAAGCGUGUAGGCUGGUUUUCCAGGCAAAUCCGGAAAAUCAAGGCUGAGGCGUGAUGACGAGGCACUACGGUGCUGAAGCAACAAAUGCCCUGCUUCCAGGAAAAGCCUCUAAGCAUCAGGUAACAUCAAAUCGUACCCCAAACCGACACAGGUGGUCAGGUAGAGAAUACCAAGGCGCUUGAGAGAACUCGGGUGAAGGAACUAGGCAAAAUGGUGCCGUAACUUCGGGAGAAGGCACGCUGAUAUGUAGGUGAAGUCCCUUGCGGAUGGAGCUGAAAUCAGUCGAAGAUACCAGCUGGCUGCAACUGUUUAUUAAAAACACAGCACUGUGCAAACACGAAAGUGGACGUAUACGGUGUGACGCCUGCCCGGUGCCGGAAGGUUAAUUGAUGGGGUCAGCGCAAGCGAAGCUCUUGAUCGAAGCCCCGGUAAACGGCGGCCGUAACUAUAACGGUCCUAAGGUAGCGAAAUUCCUUGUCGGGUAAGUUCCGACCUGCACGAAUGGCGUAAUGAUGGCCAGGCUGUCUCCACCCGAGACUCAGUGAAAUUGAACUCGCUGUGAAGAUGCAGUGUACCCGCGGCAAGACGGAAAGACCCCGUGAACCUUUACUAUAGCUUGACACUGAACAUUGAGCCUUGAUGUGUAGGAUAGGUGGGAGGCUUGGAAGUGUGGACGCCAGUCUGCAUGGAGCCGACCUUGAAAUACCACCCUUUAAUGUUUGAUGUUCUAACGUUGACCCGUAAUCCGGGUUGCGGACAGUGUCUGGUGGGUAGUUUGACUGGGGCGGUCUCCUCCUAAAGAGUAACGGAGGAGCACGAAGGUUGGCUAAUCCUGGUCGGACAUCAGGAGGUUAGUGCAAUGGCAUAAGCCAGCUUGACUGCGAGCGUGACGGCGCGAGCAGGUGCGAAAGCAGGUCAUAGUGAUCCGGUGGUUCUGAAUGGAAGGGCCAUCGCUCAACGGAUAAAAGGUACUCCGGGGAUAACAGGCUGAUACCGCCCAAGAGUUCAUAUCGACGGCGGUGUUUGGCACCUCGAUGUCGGCUCAUCACAUCCUGGGGCUGAAGUAGGUCCCAAGGGUAUGGCUGUUCGCCAUUUAAAGUGGUACGCGAGCUGGGUUUAGAACGUCGUGAGACAGUUCGGUCCCUAUCUGCCGUGGGCGCUGGAGAACUGAGGGGGGCUGCUCCUAGUACGAGAGGACCGGAGUGGACGCAUCACUGGUGUUCGGGUUGUCAUGCCAAUGGCACUGCCCGGUAGCUAAAUGCGGAAGAGAUAAGUGCUGAAAGCAUCUAAGCACGAAACUUGCC